AUGGCUCCUUCAAGUCUCCUCGGCCCCCCACAGCUCCACCGAUCCAAUGUCCCCACCACCCAACCCGAACCCGCAUCCGGCGAUGCCUUCAUCGACUCCCUAGUCUCCGACUUCAACAGCCUCAACAAACCAACAACCCCAAAACCCCCGAUGGGCUUCACCGAGAACAACUCCGCCACAUACCUCUCAUCCGGCAACCCCUGCCUCGACCUUUUCUUCCACGUCGUCCCCGACACUCCUACCUCCACCAGCAGCUCCCUCUCGCUUGGGCCCACGACGCCCUCACCACCCUCAAGCUCAUCUGCAACCUCCGCGGCGUCCGCGGCACCGGAAAGUCCGACAAAGAAGGCUUCUACACGGCGGCGCUCUGGCUCCAUAGCCACCACCCCAAAACCCUAGCCUGCAACGUCGCCUCCCUCGCCGAGUUCGGCUACUUCAAGGACCUCCCGGAGAUUCUCUACCGCCUCCUACAAGGCCAGGACGUCCGAAAGAACCAGAAAUCCGAAUGGGAGCAGAGAAAGCACUCCAUCGCAAGGAGGCCAUCUCCGAGAUCGGCGAAGUCGGCGAGAACCGGCCUCGGAGUGAACAGGCAGGAGCCGAAGGAGGUUAGGAGAGCCAAUGCGGCGGAGAGGGUAAAAUCGGAACGGGAAAGUAUCAGCGCGCUGAGGCAUCAGAAGACUUGGAGAUGGCCAAGAAGGCCAUUGAGAGGUACCAACGAGACUCCGACUACCGGUUCUUAUACGAUCGGAUUUCGGAGCUUUUCGCCGAGUGCUUGAAGUCUGAUGUUGAGAAUCUGAAUGCCAAGGAGUAUAAGAAGAUCAGCCUUGCAGCCAAGUGGUGCCCUUCUACGGACUCGUCGUUUGAUAGGGCUACAUUGCUGUGUGAAAGCAUAGCAAGGACUAUUUUCCCUAGGGAAUCGAACCCGGAAUAUGAAGGGAUUGAGGAGGCUCAUUAUGUUUUUAGAAUCCGGGACCGGCUGAGGAAGGAGAUUCUGGUGCCGCUGAGGAAAGUGUUGGAGUUGCCGGAGGUUUAUAUUGGGGCUAAUGACUGGAAUUCGAUUCCUUACAAGCGAGUCGCCUCGUUGGCGAUGAAGAUUUACAAGGGGAAGUUUUUCAAGCAUGAUGCAGAGAGGUUCAAGAAGUACUUGGAGGAUGUGGAGGCCGGCAAGUCCAAGAUUGCUGCCGGUGCACUGCUGCCGCACGAGAUCAUAACCUCUCUGAGGGACAGUGAUGGCGCGCAAGUGGCCGAGCUUCAGUGGAAGAGGAUGGUGGAGGAUAUGUUGAAGUUGGGGAAGAUGAAGAAUUGCUUGGCUGUGUGUGACGUGUCUGGGAGCAUGAGUGGGGAGCCAAUGGAGGUGUGUGUGGCUUUGGGGCUUUUGGUGUCUGAGCUGUGUGAUCAGCCGUGGAAGGGGAAGGUGAUCACCUUCAGUCGAGACCCUGCACUGCAUUUAAUACAAGGCGAAAGUCUUCAGUCGAAGACUAAUUUCAUAAGGAGGAUGCACUGGGGGAUGAACACUGAUUUUCAGAAGGUGUUUGAUUUGCUUCUCCAGGUGGCUGUCAAGGGGAAUUUGAAGCCGGAGAAUAUGAUCAAGAGGAUUUUUGUGUUCAGUGACAUGGAGUUUGAUCAGGCCUCGACAAAUAGAUGGGAAACUGAUUAUGAGGUGAUUCAGAGGAAGUAUAGGGAGAAAGGGUAUGGAGAUGCUGUGCCACAGAUAGUGUUUUGGAAUCUGAGGGACUCGAGGUCUACUCCAGUGCCAGGGACUCAACCUGGGGUGGCUUUGUUGAGUGGCUUCUCCAAGAACUUGCUCAAAUUGUUCCUGGAUUACGAUGGGGAAAUCCGGCCUGAUCUGACUAUGGAAUUGGCUAUAUCUGGCCCGGAGUAUCAAAAGCUGGUUGUCCUGGACUGA